UACGCAGGCGAAGGUGCUCGCGGAGUUCAUCCUUAUUUUUAUUUUUAUAUUUUUCCCUCUCUGUUUUUCUCUUUUUCAUGUUCUAAUCUGUAUCUCCGAGGGAACGGGGGGCAGUCUCGUCGCUGCCCCAGAGGAGCUCUGGAGUCUGGACCCUCCCCCUUGUCGUCCCUCUCCUCAUCUCAUUCUCCCCACUGUCAGCCAGGGUUUCGAUACGAUUAAAUCUUCGUCCCGCUAAUGCUUGACCUGUGUGUAUGUUGGCAUCUUCGUGUCAAACUCUCCAGCAUAUUCUGGUACAGUUGGUUGAAACAAAUAAUGACAGACCUUGACAUUUCAGCAUGGGCUUUCA